rnacentral:rRNA from 1 species
GACGUAGGGUGCAAGCGUUGUCCGGAAUUAUUGGGCGUAAAGAGCGUGUAGGCGGCCCGGUAAGUCCGCUGUGAAAGUCGGGGGCUCAACCCUCGGAUGCCGGUGGAUACUGUCGGGCUCGAGUACGGAAGAGGCGAGUGGAAUUCCUGGUGUAGCGGUGAAAUGCGCAGAUAUCAGGAGGAACACCUAUUGCGAAGGCAGCUCGCUGGGACGUUACUGACGCUGAGACGCGAAAGCGUGGGGAGCAAACAGG